rnacentral:rRNA from 1 species
GAUGAACGCUGGCGGCGUGCCCAAUACAUGCAAGUCGAGCGAAUGGAUUAAGAGCUUGCUCUUAUGAAGUUAGCGGCGGACGGGUGAGUAACACGUGGGUAACCUGCCCAUAAGACUGGGAUAACUCCGGGAAACCGGGGCUAAUACCGGAUAAAAUUUUGAAACGCAUGGUUCGAAAUUGAAAGGCGGCUUCGGCUGUCACUGAUGGAUGGCCCCGCGUCGCAUUAGCUAGUUGGUGAGGUAACGGCUCACCAAGGCAACGAUGCGUAGCCGACCUGAGAGGGUGAUCGGCCACACUGGGACUGAGACACGGCCCAGACUCCUACGGGAGGCAGCAGUAGGGAAUCUUCCGCAAUGGACGAAAGUCUGACGGAGCAACGCCGCGUGAGUGAUGAAGGCUUUCGGGUCGUAAAACUCUGUUGUUAGGGAAGAACAAGUGCUAGUUGAAUAAGCUGGCACCUUGACGGUACCUAACCAGAAAGCCACGGCUAACUACGUGCCAGCCGCCGCAGUAA